UUUAACCCUUUCCUCCAUGGUUUUUUCUUCUCACAUGCUUGAUUUGCAUAGGAUUUUUUCAAUAAUAAAAAAAUCAUCAGGUUUUAAGUCUUAAUGCAUUGUGAAAACGAAUAUUUCAUCAAUGAAAUUCAAGUCAGAUAUUCUUAUGAAUGUCCUUUUCAUAUUGGAUACAUUUUUUUUAAAGUCUGCUGCAGACAUUUUUUGUCAGAGCGUUUCAAAUGAGGUACUACACAGGCGUCAAAAGGCGUCAUUAUGGAGGAAAGGGGGUGGCGUCAAAAAGUGUCAUUAUGGAGGAAAGGGUUAAGUGAUUAG
rnacentral:lncRNA from 1 species